rnacentral:rRNA from 1 species
UACGUGUGGGGCAAGCGUUGUUCGGAAUUACUGGGCUUAAAGGGUGCGUAGGCGGUUUUGUAAGUCAGGGGUGAAAGUCGGUGGCCCAACCAUCGAAUUGCCUUUGAUACUGCGGAACUUGAGUGUGUUAGGGGAGAGCGGAACGUGUAGUGUAGCGGUGAAAUGCGUAGAUAUUACACGGAAGGCCGGAGCCGAAGGGGGCUCUCUGGGACACAACUGACGCUGAGGCACGAAAGCGUGGGGAGCAAACAGG